rnacentral:lncRNA from 1 species
CAGAAAGUAGGAUUUACAACUACCAGUUACUGGGCAGAAGACCAAAGAUGAGAGUAUUCGUCAUCGGUUAGGAUGAACAUAUCAAGGAUAAACUCAACAGGGAAGAAAAUCUGUCAUCGGUUAGGAUGAACAUAUCAAGGAUAGACUUGCCUGGGAAUGUCAAGGAGGAUACCCAUCAUCGGUUAGGAUGAGCAUAUCAAGGAUAUACCAACUAAAC